GUCCUAAGUGACAACAUAUAAAGUGUUCCACUUUUUUGCGGUGUGAUUUGAUGUAUAUUUGAGCAACUCUCAAGUGUAAAACUUCGGUCAGGACAUAAACCUCACAGUCCAAUAUACUGACAAUCUUUGCAUUUAAUUUUGCUCCCCCUGCUGGACAUUAUUGGAAUACUACUCAUGCCACUGAAAAAUAAAAUUCUAUUCAUCAUUUUACCAUGCCAAUUUAGGGGCAGUGUCAUAUCAUGGGCUAUUUUUUAAUUUGUCCAUGCACCCACUUAAUAUUUUUAAGAGUAACACUGACACAUUCAUCUGGAAAAUGCAAUUGGAUAACUUUUCUUUCAUUGUAGGUCAAAUUAAUGAGGGAAGGAGUGGCGCGCGUUUACCGGCCUGAUAAUCAAAAUAUAAUCUAAAUUACAGAACACGCUUUGUGACGCGGUGAAUGUAAAGAACGUUGUUUACGUUCAUUCCAAAAUGCUAACAGAUGACUAUCAACACGCUUGCCAAACGCCUACUGUCCCCCUCCGUCCUCAUGGCUGGAGAAAUCAGGAGAAUAGCUGCUCUUAUUGAGAGAGACCAAGAGCUCAUCACUUACAUCAAGCACAAGUUUACUACCAUUGACUUCAAAAAAGAGCACAGCUACUUACCUGAGAAGGUUGUCACCCGCAGUGACACAAAGUAUGUCCUCAUACAAAAUGGCCAGGCCAAGAAGAACUAUGACAGGAGACAGGAGAUGCUCAAAAAAGGCUUUUUCUCCCCUCUUAACAAACCAUACAAAACAGUGGGAAUGCUUUACUCUGACAACGUUGAUCUCUUCUCAACCUGGUUAACAUCAGAGGAUCAGGAGUCACUGAAGACACACUGGGACAGGAAGUUUGGCAAAAAGUCAGGAGGUGGAGUGAUCUCCAGCAAAUUCUCUCAGGAGAAGGCUAAAAAGGAGAACGUCACAGCCCCUCCAAUGGAGAGCCCGACCCUGGAUGGCUUCCUCCAGCUGAAGCACUGCGUGAGGGAGAUGGCCUCCAUUAGACGUGCUCUCCACGCUGGGCGCCCCCUCAUAUGUUACCUCAGGGACCAGGAUAAACAGCCAUCGCUAAUGAUACCAUGUCACCGAGCCGUGUCAGCUGAUAAAGAGACUGUGCCACCAACCCCCAUGACCAUGAACCAACAGGCACUGGACCCAGAGGAAGAGGAGAACCUACAGAGGAUACAGUACAGGAAGCAGAAGCUGUUCUCAGAGAAACUGCAGUGGAUCUACAUGGUCCUGUGCGGCAUCUCUCACAUGAGAAACAAAGACCUGAAGACACUGGUUCCUCUCAACAGCAGCUAUGUGAACGUCAUCAUGAAGGACACAGAGAAGACCAACAUCAUUCUGAAGCAGUCACACAGCUACUACAACCCUCCAGUGAAUGCCACCGGACGUCUGGUGUCUCUGGCCCCCGAUGACUGUCACAGCGGCACCCCUGACGUGUGGGACACCUUCAUCGGUCACCAGGAUGCCGCAGAGCCCUCAAAGAUAACCACCAUCCGAACCACAGGAUAUAAAGCUCUGCAGUCUGGGCCCAGGCGUAAGGUUGGCCAGAGAGAGCCAGACGGCGAUGGAGACAUACCCCCAUGGCUACUACUGCUGCUGGAUGAGAACACAUCGCUAGAGAAGAAAACGGUCAAGCCUAGAGUAGACCAGUCAGUCAAGCUGGAGAGAGCCAAGGUCCAAUACCUGAAUGUGAAGAAGGUUUUAAACAUCCAGAUCAAGUCAGGAGUGUUUAAAAAGAAAAAGAACCGUGAGGGGAGGAUGAGAACUCUUUUCGAUGCUCUAAUGGCUUCCAAGACCGAUGCUGGUCUGUCUUCGCUCCUUGCCUCUCUGAAGAGUGAGCUGAAGGAGCCCAAAUCCACCACUGGUCUCUGGUUUGCAACACUGCAGAGUGAGGCCACAGAACUGUCCGGAGACAGAGACCCCAAAUAUAAGAGCACACUGCAGAAGAUCUCAGCGUUUCAAAGCUUCUCCAACAAAAGGGUCCCCUACUCCAAGGAGAAAUUCUGUCUCCUGGUCCUCUCCAUGCCAGCCAAUCAGCUGCUUCAACCAGCCAUGCAGGAAGCACUGCUCUUCCUCACCGAGAAAGUCCUGCUGCUGUUGCCGCGGCAACUCAAACAGUGGUACCAGUACCUGAAGCUGCCCUUCCCCACCACGGAAUCCUCCUCCUCCUAA
rnacentral:lncRNA from 8 species